GUCAAACAAAAGUCGCCGCACGAGCAAGUGGUGGAGAAAUCUUGUCGCUGGGAAAACCCGGAAUUCCGGGAGGAAAACGCAACCGAGGGGCUUCAGUUCGCACCAGCAGCUAGCGAAGAUUCAUCCAGACGCACUCUAAGCCACGUUGCUUGCUGAGCGGUUAAGCUGAAGAGGAACCGAGAUUGGAGUCGUCCAGACGGAACUUCAAAGCAACAAACGGGCAAAAAUAAUCGUGGGCCGCACAGACGGCCUUUUUUUUUGACACCCUUGAUUCUCCUCAUUUGUCGCUUGCGGAGCGCCUUUUCCGUGCCAUCAACCACGGUGACAUUGCGGAUAAUUCCACCAGUACCCCCUCACUGUUUUGUUGGUGUUUCGGGGACAAGUUCCUUCUUCGGCCGGAGCGGAAUUGAUCCUCAGUGAAACUUGAACAAUCAGAUCGACAAUUGGAGGGGAACUGCUAAAGAGGGUCCGGAUCAGCAGUAGCGUGGCAUCAAAGUUUUCAUUCUCCAUCCGGUGUGGGACAGAUCGGCUUUGACCAACUAGCCAUCAAGUUCCCGCCCGAUGAUUCAUCCGGAGAUGAAUGGGUCGGCUGCAAGGCAAGGUAAAGGUGCUCAUCGAUUUCCGUGGCGCAGAUGCCGGGACGGCAACAGCAGUUCCAAGGGCUGGAUUUCAUCUUUAGCAGCUCCAGCGGUGCGCGAAGGCAGUGUCCCGCGAAAAUCCAUAUCAGUGACGUCAGAAAAAUCAGGGAGGAGAGUGGCACAGUCAUGCAGGUGGCACUAUCG